rnacentral:rRNA from 1 species
UACAGAGGGUGCAAGCGUUAAUCGGAUUUACUGGGCGUAAAGCGUGUGUAGGUGGCUUCCUAAGUCGGUUGUGAAAUCCCUGGGCUCAACCUGGGAAUUGCGUUGGAGACUGCAAGGCUGGAGUCUGGCAGAGGGGGGUAGAAUUCCACGUGUAGCGGUGAAAUGCGUAGAGAUGUGGAGGAACACCGAUGGCGAAGGCAGCCCCCUGGGUCAAGACUGACGCUCAUGCACGAAAGCGUGGGGAGCAAACAGG